rnacentral:rRNA from 1 species
CAGUCGCCACGGGAAUACGUAGGUGGCAAGCGUUGUCCGGAAUUAUUGGGCGUAAGGGGCUCGCAGGCGGUUUCUUAAGUCUGAUGUGAAAGCCCCCGGCUCAACCGGGGAGGGUCAUUGGAAACUGGGAAACUUGAGUGCAGAAGAGGAGAGUGGAAUUCCACGUGUAGCGGUGAAAUGCGUAGAGAUGUGGAGGAACACCAGUGGCGAAGGCGACUCUCUGGUCUGUAACUGACGCUGAGGAGCGAAAGCGUGGGGAGCGAACAGGAUUAGAGACCCCGGUAGUCCCUGUCUCUUAUAC